rnacentral:rRNA from 1 species
UACGGAGGGUGCAAACGUUAUCCGGAUUCACUGGGUUUAAAGGGUGCGUAGGUGGGCAAGUAAGUCAGUGGUGAAAUCUCCGGGCUUAACCCGGAAACUGCCAUUGAUACUAUUUGUCUUGAAUACUGUGGAGGUCAGCGGAAUAUGUCAUGUAGCGGUGAAAUGCUUAGAUAUGACAUAGAACACCAAUUGCGAAGGCAGCUGGCUACACAAAUAUUGACACUGAGGCACGAAAGCGUGGGGAUCAAACAGG